GUACACUCCUACGGGAGGCAGCAGUGGGGAAUUUUGGACAAUGGGCGAAAGCCUGAUCCAGCAAUGCCGCGUGAGUGAAGAAGGCCUUCGGGUUGUAAAGCUCUUUUGUCAGGGAAGAAACGGUGAAAGCUAAUAUCUUUUGCUAAUGACGGUACCUGAAGAAUAAGCACCGGCUAACUACGUGCCAGCAGCCGCGGUAAUACGUAGGGUGCAAGCGUUAAUCGGAAUUACUGGGCGUAAAGCGUGCGCAGGCGGUUUUGUAAGGCUGAUGUGAAAUCCCCGGGCUCAACCUGGGAAUUGCAUUGGAGACUGCAAGGCUAGAAUCUGGCAGAGGGGGGUAGAAUUCCACGUGUAGCAGUGAAAUGCGUAGAUAUGUGGAGGAACACCGAUGGCGAAGGCAGCCCCCUGGGUCAAGAUUGACGCUCAUGCACGAAAGCGUGGGGAGCAAACAGGAUUAGAAACCCCGGUAGUCC
rnacentral:rRNA from 1 species